UCGAUCCGUGUGCGGGAGAACCGCAUACACGAUUCGGAGGGAGAGGCGGGGAAGCUCGUCUCUACCCUUGA
rnacentral:misc_RNA from 1 species